UAAUUAAAACACUGCAGUAAAUGAGUUGGAUAAUACUUAAAACUAAGAUUUCAAUAAUUGUUUUUCAAAGUUUUCACUUGCACAGAUCUAAUUUCGUUUCACGUGGAUAAUAUCUGGCAGAUAUAGUCAAACGAAUGAACGUGAAAACGACGGGAAAAAUCCUCGAAACAACCAUGGCGUUUCAUCACGUUUCCUUAUUCAAGCAUCCUAACGUGUUUUUUUACCAAAGUCUUUUUGAGUAUAUUUAUAUAUUAUUGUUUUAUUCAAGUAUUCGAAUAAAUUAUACAGGUUUUUAUCGUGCUUUUUUAGUUCAUUCGUUUCUCUUAUUCUUUGUGAAUAAAAAUAUUACAUAAUAUUUUCAAAAUCUAAUUUUUUUAAUUAUUCAGCAAAUAGUUUGAAAUCUUUUUUUUUUUUUAACCUUGAAUCAAUGAGCUCGAUAGUUUUAGAAUUGUUUGGUAUUAGCUUGAUAAUAUGAUACGUAACUAUGUUAUUUUUCAAAUUCAAUUAUUUAUAUACUCUUGCAUUCUAUUGGGCGUGCAAAUUAAAAACUUAAACUGUUAUUUAUAUUUUUAUAACUUUGCUUUACCUAUGCCUAUCCUGAUCGGAAAUAGUUAUUCUGAUACGUGAAUAAAAAAUUUGAAA